rnacentral:lncRNA from 1 species
UGUGUCCGCUUCGAUGUUCUCGGGGCUCAUAUAGACACAGACCAGCCGUAUAGCCAGAGCGCAGUGCGGCGCACUCCAACGAUCUCAGUCGGAUGUAGACAACAAUCGGCAGCAGAACAGAACACAUCACAAGUCAUCAUAAGAUGGACUGAAGGACUGGAGCGUACGACUGUCUGUUCGGAGUUUCUGGUAAAAGUCAUAUAUGCUGUAAUGUAUCUUAAAGCCUCCUGUCGAAGCCUUUCUAACAAUGAUUUCACUUUCAGGGGGACUACGGAACCUUAAUCAUUGCUUAAAAGCCGAAAUCUGCCUGGCAGCUAAAUAUAAAUAUAAAUCUCGGUGCAUCUAUGAAUCACAGAGGCUCGCGGCUUGAUGACUGAACAGCCGUAACUGAUUAAUCUAAUUAAAUUCUUUUCUGCACCAUAAACAGAAUCAUCAAUUCAUGUUCUUUUCUAAUGACCAAGAGGAUGAGUCGCCCGACUAACAUCGGUAUAUCUCUCAUCUCUGCCUGAUCCACCUUAUAGACAGCAGUAGCAACAACAAGAGGUAAUUUAUCAUGAUGUUUUCCUAUAGAACCUAGAACCAAGAUAUGUUCUAGGUACCUAUAAACCAUCCACGUAUGCCUAAGCAAAUAUAUUUAUUCUGUUUCGGUGCUUUUGUGUUUUAUUGAAAGAAAAUUGAAAUAAAUUUCAAGAUU